UUAAGUUCUGGUCAAGCGCUCACCAUUCUGCAGAAUAAGGACCAGAACUUUACAGAGGUAAACUGUGUCAGUUCUUUUACUAUUACAGCAGUUCAUCGUGGCCCUGUAGUUCGACUCCUUCACCAAAGCUCUGUCAGGGACCUACAUGAAGAGUGCCAUCACUCAGAGAGACACUUUGACCUGUCCAGCUCUCUCAUCGGACUUAUAGACGGCAGCUUUGAGAUGGGUUUCAACAAUAACAUUGAGUUGCUUGAGAAUUCAUGUAGUAAAAACCAGAUACAGACUACAGUAUGAUCCAUUUUUUUUGUGGUUCAAUCAGAGUCUGCUCUCAAUACUGUCCAGUUUUAUAGUUGUUCCUAUUAAUUGAUUGACUGGCGUUUGUCCAUGACUCUACUGUCAAACCCCUAACAUUGUUGUAUUUGAUGCUAUGUUGUUGCAGCCUAGUAUCCAAACUGAUAUGUCAUUUUUAGUUUAAAAAAUAACAGUGUUUAUAAUUUGCUAUUCCUGACUACUGCAGUGUUGUGGUUUCUUGCAGGUAACCUGCUGUUCCUGGCUGUGGUCAGCCAUUUUGGGGCGAAGCUGCACCGGCCCAGGUUCAUUGCUAAGGGCUGUUUCCUCAUGGCUGUAGGAUCCUCCCUCACAGGCCUGCCGCACUUCUUCAUGGGACGGGAGAAAAUCAAGUGAGUUUGACAAACUCCAGAAGAAGAACUCACAGAUGAAGAGCGUCAUCGAAAACCUGAGGAAGCAAAACAUGGCUUUAAACCAACAGGAUGACCAGGACAAGUUUUCAAGUUUUGGCUAUCAGGAGAGCUACCCAAUCUCAGAGGGCCAUCGUGGCUUCAUCAGUGAUGCCAGACUUCUGCAGAUGCAGAGAGCUGAGAGAGAGGCCAUGGAAGCAAAGCAAAGAAAGAUAAGUGCUAUCCAUGAGAAUUAUGUCCGGACUGCUCUCAUCGGGGUUGGCAGCACCUUCGCGCACCACUUCGUCCCCUCUAUUCAGUGCAUUCCGCGGCCGAAAGCUCCACCGAGGCCUUUGCCACGAAGGCUUGAGCACAUAGCUCUGGCCCCACUGAAGAACGUGGUGGGGGUGGACGGAGCCCAAGUUCGACCCGGAACUCACUCUCUGGAGUCCAUCCAGGUAAAUAAGUCAUUCAGCAGCAGUAGCGUGUGGCCUGUUCCCAUCCCUCCCACUGGAGCUCCCUCCAAGAGGGGCAAGAAGAAGAAGGGCAGGCGGGGAGUCAAAGCCCUGAAAGUCCAGUCGGAUCAGGGCUGUGCUGACAACAACGGACCCAUUGACCUGAUGGAGGAGGUGAGGGACAUCGAGCCUCACCUGAAGGAGGAGGCCUGGAAGGUGGAACAUGAGGUGAAGGCCAUGGGCAGGAGAAGUUUGGGCUCGGCCAUGUCCACGGGGGAAAUAGCAACCAGCUCUCUGGGAAGCCUGAGCUCAGUGGAUAUGAACACCCCUGCAGAGCUCCGUGACUACUUGGAUGUCGGGACCCCGGACCCCUGCUCCCCCUCCUACCAAGCCCAGGAGCAAACAGCCUCGGCCUAUAAGGUUCCUUAGCCUGCCAAAGGCUGCCACCGGCUCAGGGAGAAGAAGAUCGAGGGCUUGACCUUUCUCCGUGUGAUGGCUCAGAACCACAUGGACAUACUGAUGCCUAAACUCCAUGAUAUCUGUCUUGCCAUUAUAAAUGAGGUGAAGAACCUGCGCUCUGCAGUGUCCUGUGCUGCCAUGGCCCCACUGGGUGACAUGUACGUCCACCUCCAGAGGGCCAUGGACAGUGAGGUGGAGGGGACGGCACGCGUGCUGCUGCACAAAGCCAGCGAGGCCAACGCCUUCAUCCGGCAGGGUGCCAACUUUGCCCUGGGUCACAUGGUGCAGAGCUGCACCCCUACACGUGUCAUGAAUGCCCUGCUGGUCGGUGGGCUGAGCCACCGUAACGCUGCGGUGAGGAGCUGCACUGCUCAGCACCUGGAGAGACUGGCUGAGGUCAUGGGGACGGCUCGUCUCCUGUCGGGGAAGAAAAACCUCACUGACCGUUUCUUGAUUGCCGUCAGUAAACUGGCUGUGGACCCUUCACAGGAAGUCAGGCAUCAUGGUCGGAAUAUCUUGAGCAACAUGGCCACCAAUGGCGACUUUCCUAAAAUGUGGGACAAAUUUGCUCCGAGGAAAGAGAGAGAAUCCUUGAGGGAGGUCAUCUCAAAGGUUAACCUCAAGGAAAG